UGAAUCGAGCAUUAUUUACUCCUUUCACUUCGAGAAGAAAAAUAAAAAAGAUUUUUAUUCACAGAUCGUUGAAAAAGAGGAGAAGAUGCUCCUCCAUCAUUAAUU